rnacentral:rRNA from 1 species
UUGUUAGUUGCCAUCAUUCAGUUGGGCACUCUAGCGAGACUGCCGGUAAUAAACCGGAGGAAGGUGGGGAUGACGUCAAAUCAUCAUGCCCCUUAUGACCUGGGCUACACACGUGCUACAAUGGUUGGUACAACGAGUUGCGAGUCGGUGACGGCGAGCUAAUCUCUUAAGGCCAAUCUCAGUUCGGAUUGUAGGCUGCAACUCGCCUACAUGAAGUCGGAAUCGCUAGUAAUCGCGGAUCAGCACGCCGCGGUGAAUACGUUCCCGGGCCUU